GGAUUAGAUACCCUGGUAGUCCACGCUGUAAACGAUGGAUACUAAACGUGGUGGGUCUUGACCCCUGCCGUGUUGAAGCUAACGCGAUAAGUAUCCCGCCUGGGAAGUACGGUCGCAAGACUAAAACUCAAAGGAAUUGACGGGGACCCGCACAAGCGGUGGAUCAUGUGGUUUAAUUCGAAGCAACGCGAAGAACCUUACCUGGAUUUGACAUCCUCUGAAUAUUGUAGAGAUAUAAUAGGCCCGCAAGGGACAGAGAGACAGGUGCUGCAUGGCUGUCGUCAGCUCGUGCCG
rnacentral:rRNA from 1 species